UUUCCGUAGGUGAACCUGCGGAAGGAUCAUUAGUGAAUUGAAUAUGUUAGCGGACCUCUUCGGAGUCCCUAGCAUCAAAUCAUAUCCAUAACACCUGUGAACUGUAAGGCUGUCUUGGAAACGAAAGUGAUUCGAGCGCCUGCCCAUUUUAUACAAACAUUAAAGUAACAAUCGUAGUCUUAUUAUAAUCUAAUAAAACUUUCAACAACGGAUCUCUUGGUUCUC
rnacentral:misc_RNA from 1 species